GGGCAUGUAACUCAGCUUGGAUAGAGUGCUUGGCUUCGGACCAAGAUGUCGGGGGUUCAAAUCCCUUCAUGCUCG
rnacentral:tRNA from 1 species